CACUAAAAAUACUUGUAUUAGAGUCUUGAAUUGGCGCUUUUUAAUUUAGCUGGUUUAGCAAAAAUAAAGGUUUAGGACUUGAUUGCAUCAAUUGAAAUAUUUAAACCUUUGGUGCUACUCGUACAGAAGGGUUUAUGACUUCUCUCCCGGUUCUUUUUAACAUGAGCAUUAUUAACAAAAAGUCAAUUUCGUUAGGUUUUCUACACGAAUAUGGAGAUUGUGUCAAGCCCAUCACGUGCGAGUUGAAGAUGUUGGACUUUUUUAACUGAGUUGGGCCGACCUCUGGGCUGACUCAACCCAAGCAAGCAAGAAAUCUCCGAAUAAAGCUGCAAGCAAUCGAAAGAUCAAAGCAUCAUGGUAGGAUAAACAAUCGAAAGAUGAAAGCACUAUGGUAGGAGAAAUACAAGUGUUAGUCCAAAUGCGUGAUUACACAAGCGAUCGGCUCGGAUAACGUAAGGAUUACGUAUAGCAAUAUUGUUCUUGGGAUUUGAGCUUUAAACAUACAAGAAAUUAGGAUCCUAGACUUAAAAGUGAUUAGCGAUUCACUUAAUUAUUAUUAACGGUUGAGACUUAGAAAUAGAUCGAAUCGUACCUUAAGAAUCAACCAUCGGCAGAUUUCGAUUACUAUGCAUUUGGUAGAUUGAACUAAUCGAAAAUCUUAUGCAUUGUACUUUUUUAGUGAAUGAUAACUAGACCUAGCAUAAGGGGUUAAAGAAAAAGCUGAUCAUCCGUGCCUAGCUGGGGAGGGGCAAGCAAGGGUUGUAGCUAGGGGUGAGCGGUUCCCGGUUCCUUACAGGUUCCGCUUGGAACCUGGAACCUACCCUCGGGUACAGGUUCCUCAUUUUUUGGAACCUGGAACCUACCCGUCAGAACCAAGAACCUGGAACCUACCCUGUCACAGGUUCCAGGGUCGGUUCCAGGUUCCAACAGGUUCCAACAGGUUCUUUAUUUUUUUUAUUUUUCAUUUUUAGAUUAAAAAAAUGGAAAAUAAUGCAGCAAUAAUAACGACAUAGCCAUGAAUCCUGCAACCUGAUGCUAGAACACACUUCACAUGCUAAACCGACUUGAAGCUAUUGAAGAUGCCCAAUAAACUGAUGUUACUCUUAUUUAGACAUUGCAGAUAGCAAACCAAUACCACAUAAGUUGAAAUUCCUCAGAAUUGACACAACUAAAAGCUCCCCAAUGUCUGGAAGGACGACCACUAAUAAUCACUACCACACUAUGAGAACAAGCACCACCGUGACCUCAACAAGCACUGAACAGGAAAAGCAGGUCCAACACAAGCCUAUAAGUCUCAUCUAAAUAAGAAGAUCAGGCCAAUCAUUAGCAGAACCGAUCAAAGGCACUGAACGUUGAACACAAUGUGUUGUAACAGCGACAAGCUUAACAAGACAUAAAGUUGAAGCAACAUUAAAAUUCACUAAAAUCCCAUCUCUGAUACUAUCAAAACCACAUGAAGCAACAGAAACUACCACAAUUCGCAGAUCAUCGGAUAUAAAAAAUGCUUGUGCUCGAGAGUAACAAAGCAGCACUGUAUCUAAGCAGCUAUUUGCUUCCUUAAAAGUCUUCAAUUCGCUUAAAAGCAAUAAUCAGAAAAGCAUCAAGGUCUCUUUCGCAACAACUAAAAAGCUCUAACCCAAAGCAAAAGCAACUCCUCCCAUGAAAACACCUCAGAACCCUAGCUUGGUGCGGCGCCAGUGCCUACGCUUCGCAUUGUACCUGAACGAUUUCGGCGACAAAAAUUAGGCCACAAAAAAAUAAAAUAAAAUAAAAAGACGGCUUUUUUUGGACAAAACGUGAAGGAAAGUGUUGUCAGUUCGCAUGCGAAUCCAGGGAGGGAUGGGCCUGUUCGGUUCCGGUUCUUCUUCACCAGCUUCUUCUUGAUCUGGCGACGGCGAGCACGCGGCGACGGUGGCGCGACGGCGACGAAGGCACGAGACUCACGGCACCAACGGCGGCAUGAACGGCGCACUGAAGAAGGCGGCAGCCGCGGCUCAACCCACGGCCAAGGGGGGAAGAGCUCAGUUCGGGCGGAGGUGGUGACGGUUCGGAGCAACGAUGGCUCGGACGGCCGAGCAAGCUGCAGCAAGAGGUGGUGAUGGUGGCUUGGGGACGGCGGCGGUGCCUCACGGUGGCGCGGAAGGCAAGACAGCUCGUCGGACUCAACGGAGAGACGGCUUGUUGGACGAGCAGUGGGUGGUGGGGGUUUGGUGGCCAAGAGGUGGUGGUGAGUAGGGCGUGGGGCGGCGGUGUGGUGGUGGGUGAAGCAGCAACCGGCGAGAGGAAGGAAGAAGAAGAAGAAGAAGAAGAAGAAGAAGAAGAAGAGGUGGGGGGGUUCGGCCGAGAGAGGGGGAAAGAGAAGAGAGAGAGAGAGAGAGAGGAAAAGAAAAAAGUGGGGGGCAGGAAGUGACGUGAGGAGGAAAAGGUGGAGAAAAGAGAGAGGGAAAAAGAAAGGGAAAGGGGGGAAAGUUGAACGGAAGGGG
rnacentral:lncRNA from 1 species